rnacentral:lncRNA from 1 species
ACUGGUGGACCGGUGACAUCGCAAGGGAGCUCGGCAUCCCGAGGCUCACCUUUAGUGGCUUUUGUGGCUUUUCGUCCCUUGUCAGGUACAACAUAAAGAGGCAAACCUUGUGAGUACUGGACAUAUUUUUGCUGCUAUGAUUAGGUAUUUUACUUCAAUAGUACAGGACAGCUUACGAGUAUAAAUUCCUUCCAGAAAAGAAGAAAGCAUACAUAGAUAAUAGAGUACACAAGAUAAUAAAAUCGACGUGUGUGCUACCUUACGUAAUGAAACAUGUAAUUCAAACUACAUAAGGAAGUAUAGAAAAUAAGAAUUUUCAUCAGAUAUUUGUUACGCCAGUUACAGCUGGUUGAUGUGUCAACGAUGUCUGCACUUCAACGUAUUUUAAACAACUAAUAUCAUCUUGCAGGUACAUCAUUUUUCACAACAAUGUAUUGGAGCAUGUCACAGAUGACAAUGAGCUCAUCACGAUCCCGGGGUUCCCUACACCGCUAGAGUUGACGAAGGCUAAGUUGCCUGGUGGAACCCUUUGUAUUCCGGGUAUGGAGCAAAUCCGUGAGAAGAUGUUUGAGGAGGAGCUGAGAUGCGAUGGUGAGAUCACUAAUAGCUUCAAAGAGCUCGAGACAUUGUACAUUGAAUCCUAUGAGCAGAUAACAAGGAAGAAGGUCUGGACGAUCGGGCCAAUGUGCCUCUGCCACCGAAACAGCAACAGAACGGCCGCAAGAGGAAACAAGGCGUCAAUGGAUGAGGCACAGUGCUUGCAAUGGCUUGAUUCAAGGAAGCCAGGCUCAGUGAUCUUUGUGAGUUUUGGAAGCCUCGCUUGCACUACACCUCAACAACUUGUUGAACUGGGACUGGGACUUGAAGCCUCCAAGAAACCAUUUGUUUGGGUGAUUAAAGCAGGAGCUAAGCUUCCAGAAGUCGAGGAAUGGCUCGCAGAUGGGUUCGAGGAGCGCGUCAAAGACAGAGGUCUGAUCAUAAGGGGUUGGGCACCACAGCUCAUGAUCCUGCAGCACCAAGCCGUUGGAGGAUUCGUGACGCACUGCGGGUGGAACUCAACAAUAGAGGGCAUCUGUGCAGGUGUGCCCAUGAUCACAUGGCCACACUUUGGGGAGCAGUUUUUGAAUGAGAAGCUGCUUGUGGAUGUGCUGCAAAUCGGGAUGGAGGUUGGAGUGAAAGGAGCUACACAGUGGGGAAGUGAAAACCAGGAGGUUAUGGUUACCAGAGAUGCUGUGGAGACAGCAGUGAACACCCUGAUGGGUGAAGGGGAGGCUACAGAGGAGUUGAGAAUGAGAGCAGAAGACUGCGCCAUUAAGGCAAGGAGGGCUUUCGACGAGGAAGGUUCUUCUUACAACAACGUAAGGCUGUUAAUUCAAGAAAUGGGAAACAAGACGAAUGCAUGUGGUUGAUAGAGAUUAUGUAAGCUCGCUUUUUCGGUGUAAACAUGAAGUGAAACAUCCUAGAGUACAUAUAUCAUCAUAUAGAAUUUUGUACCAGGCUCACAGGUGAUUAUUUAGAGAUUAUAGAUGAUCCAAAUGAAGGGAAUAUCAAUUAUCCUCUCUAUUAUGUACGCUCUUUCAUGGCAGUCCACAUAACAACUACACAGUCUGCUAUUCUAGAUGGUUACGCUCUCCCUUACAUUUUGCUACCGCUGCACGACUAGCCACGGUUCGUGGAGGCGUAGGACAAUGACUCCGAGCAACUAGGGAGGGGCGCCGCCGUGCACCGGACACUGCGCUGUUGCAUUACACCAGGCACUGUACAUGGCCUAAUAACAGACCUUGUUUCAUUGCUAAUCGCUGCGGUCUUGUAUUAAAUCCUUUUUUUAGGGGUAUUAAAUUCUUUCUAGAUAUGGAGUUUAUUAGGUCUGUGUGCAUGAAGCAAAAUGAAAACAAGGAGCCUCGGUCGUACCUCUUUGCGUCAGGAAGCCACUGUGUUGAUUAGGAUGCAUUGCGUCGCUCCAGAAAUGGACUCAUAUUUUCCAUAUCACUGGGAGAUCCUUUUAGCUUCUCACCAACAAAACCCUGAAAGGAUACAGACAAGAAAAUUCCACCCACUACCACAGACCCACAUUACACUGAAUGACCGAAUCUCCACACAGAAAAUAAUGCACUAUCAUAUUAUAUCGGCUGGCUCGGCCUUCCACAGCCUUGAGAGUUAAGUAGUGUGCAUAUACGACAAGUCAGCAUCAGACAUGAGGAUCAUCCAAAUCCUGUAAAAAUGACUCCCCUUUGAGCGUGACAGGCGGUAGCUGUGGUUAAUCUGAGCCCUCGAUGUCUGAUCCGAUGGCCUGGAUUCUGAUGAUUCAGAACUUAACAAGAUUCAUCCACAUGGCUGACUUCACAAAUCCAUGACUGACGUGAGAGCAUGCGUCACUAGCAAGAGGUCACCAAUUUGAUAUGCUGUUGCAUCGUCAGCUCAUCAUCUUUCCUUAGGAAGACAUAGCACCAGGUGCUAUAUGCAUACACUAUAGUUGCCAUUGCGACCAUUAUCAGAUUGUGCCCAACACAUCGUGCUAUCUUGCCGGUGUCACUGUCUUCCCAGUUUGACUGACUCCACCACCAGUCCUUUUCCUACAAUAGCCGAUCAGCCAUGACCUUCACCGGCAGCGGUGAUGGCCACAGCGGCUCCGCGAGGGCGCACUUUGUGUUGGUACCGAUGUUGGCGCAGGGGCACACAAUCCCCAUGACCGACAUGGCGCGCCUGCUGGCAGAGCACGGCGCGCAGGUUAGCUUCAUCACCACACCAGUGAAUGCCUCCAGGUUGGCAGGCUUUGCAGCCGAUGUGGAGGCGGCGGGCCUGGCAGUACGGCUCGUGGAGCUCCAUUUCCCGAGUGCCGAGUUCGGCCUACCGGACGGGUGCGAGAACCUGGACAUGAUCCAAUCCAUAGAUCUGCUCUCCAACUUAUGCCAUCGCUGCGCUUCAGGAGCCGCUCAAGGCAUGCCUCCAUGAGCAGCAGCGCUCGCCUCCGAGCUGCAUCAUAUCUGACCUGAUUCACUGGUGGACUGGUGACAUCGCAAGGGAGCUUGGUAUCCCGAGGCUGACCUUUAGUGGCUUUUGUGGCUUCUCGUCCCUCAUCAGGUACAAUCAUAAUAAGAGGCAAAUCUUGUGAGUAACUAAUUUGUACUAUGCAUAUUAUUGCUGCUACAAUUAAGUGCUUUACUUCAUCAGUGGACGGAAAACUAGUGUAAAUUG